UACAGACGGACGCAAAGCCGCGAGGCGGAGCAAAUCCGAAAAAGACCGGUCUCAGUUCGGAUUGCAGGCUGCAAUUCGCCUGCAUGAAGUCGGAAUCGCUAGUAAUCGCAGGUCAGCAUACUGCGGUGAAUACGUUCCCGGGCCUU
rnacentral:rRNA from 1 species